rnacentral:rRNA from 1 species
GACGAACGCUGGCGGCGUGCUUAACACAUGCAAGUCGAACGGUGAAGCUCCAGCUUGCUGGAGUGGAUCAGUGGCGAACGGGUGAGUAACACGUGAGCAACCUGCCCCUGACUCUGGAAUAAGCGCUGGAAACGGCGUCUAAUACUGGAUACGAGAAGGGUCCGCAUGGGCACUUUCUGGAAAGUUUUUCGGUUGGGGAUGGGCUCGCGGCCUAUCAGCUUGUUGGUGAGGUAAUGGCUCACCAAGGCGACGACGGGUAGCCGGCCUGAGAGGGCGACCGGCCACACUGGAACUGAGACACGGCCCAGACUCCUACGGGAGGCAGCGGUGGGGAAUAUUGCACAAUGGGCGAGAGCCUGAUGCAGCGACGCCGCGUGAGGGAUGACGGCCUUCGGGUUGUAAACCUCUUUCAGCAGGGAAGAAGCGAAAGUGACGGUACCUGCAGAAGAAGCACCGGCUAACUACGUG